GGCAUUCAUUUUGUAUUAUAUUGUGCUCAGUGGUGUAUUUUGACGGAACGCGGACACCCCCUAAUUUAAAUUUACCCACCCCUUCCUGUCACGGCUACACCUCUUCCUGUUAAAGACUAACACAUGCUUUGACUUGACAUACACACCCACUCACUGACCGGCACACACUCUCAGAUACACUGACGUACACUCACUGACAGACAAACAUACCCACACACUCACUGAUUUGACACAAUUUGACAGACACACACAAUCACUGAUUUGACACACACAAUCACUCAGACACGCACUGAAAUACACACGCAUUGAAAGAUACGCACACACUCACUGACAGACACACAUACGCUGACAAACACACAUUGACAGACAUACACACACUCACAGGCAUAC